AGCAAAGAAGGGACCCCGGAGGACCAGACUGGGAAGUGUCCAGGUCCUCCUAGAUCCAUCUCUCUGGGCUGACUGGAGAGGCUGGAUAGGACCUAGGAAGCCAGUAGCAAGCCCUGACUCUGCCGCGACACCACCCUCCCAUCUGCUGUGGGGAAAUCCCAGUCCCGCUCUGGGUUUCUGGCAAAGCGGGCAUCGGCGGGGCCCCAAGCACAAUUUCUCUUGGCCAAAAAGAAACAGCUCGGAAGCCGCGUGCAACAGCGACAUCCCGCGGCCACGAGGGGUGCGCACAGCCUGCAGAGCCCGACAACGCAGCGCACGUCUCUCCUCCCCGCGUGGUCUCUUGCCCGCCCUGGGUCCUCUUCUCAGCCCCGCGCCCCUUCCCGCGGGGCGCCGCCUGGCCCCCAGCCAGCCUGCACGCGCACUCCUAGACCUACUGCCGGGUGUCACAUGCCAAUAAGCCGCAUCCCCGAGGCGCCAGGACUUGUUUCCGCCAAACUGCUGGCAGGCCAGGUGGGCACGCGCGCUGGAAUAUCAUUUCCAUCUAAAAGUGUCUUUUGCCUCGUGGAAGAGUGACGUGCGGGGAGGUGGCAAAUCUCCUACAUGCCGUUCCCUCAUCUGCUACUUCCUCUCCACCCACGACCCUUAUUCCUAGGCCCACCAUCUGGAAGAAACCCAAUUUAUGUUUUUCUUUUCUGGAGCAAAUAGUGUAUAUCUGCUGGAAAGACAUUGGUACUUAAAUACAGAAAAAUAAAAAUGAGAAAAUUUAAAUGACUUGUAUUACAAUAUGAGUAGGCCUCUAACAAGAGACCAAAUGAGUCAUUAAUAAACUUUCCAGGAGCAGAUGUCUUCUGGAAAAUUCUAUGAAGCAUUUAAAGAAUUAAUAUCAAUUGUUCACAAACUCUCCCAAAAUAUACAAGAGAAGAGAACACUUCCCAGCUUACUCUGAGGCCAGUAUUACUCAGUGCAAAUCAAGAAAACCACAGAGCAAAAUAUGUUAUGAAAUUAAUUUUUAAAAUCCUAAUAAAAUCCUAUCCUGAUUAUUUAACAAAAUAUAAAGAGAACUGUACCUAUUGAUCAGGAGUUAUACCAGGAUUGUAUGGUUGGUUUAACAUUCAAGAAUCCAGUUUUGGGGGCUGGAGUGAUAGCAUAGCGGGUAGGGCGUUUGCCUUGCACACAGCCAACCCGGGUUCGAGUCCCAGCGUCCCAUAUGGUCUCCUGAGCACUGCCAGGAGUAAUUCCUGAGUGCAGAGCCAGGAGUAACCCCUGUGCGUUGCUGGGUGUGACCCAAAAAGCAAAAAAAAAAAAAAAUCCAGUUUUGCAGGGGUCAGAAAAAUAGAACAGUGAAUAUGUUGUUUGUUUUGCAUGCAGCUGACCAUAGUUUGAUCUCUGGCAUCAUAUAUGGUCCCCUGGGCACAGCCAAAGUGAUCCCUGAGCACAGAGCCAGGACUUAUCCCUAAACACCCAAACCAGAAAAUAGACUCUGUGUGUGUGUGUGUGUGUGUGUGUGUGUUCAUUUUUGUAGUAUUCUGUAUCAAUAGAAUAAAAGACAAAACCCAAACCCGACCUGGCAAUUCCAGUCCAAGUAAAUACUCAGGAGAAAGGAAAACAUUCCCACUCGGAAGCUUGUUCAUGAAUAUUCAUAGCAACAUUAUUCAUAAAUAUGGAAGUCAAAUCCUAUCUAUAGACAAGUAGAUAAAUAACCUAUGGUAUAUCCAUAAAGUAAAAUAUUAUUAAGCCAAAAAAAGAACAAAGUAUUGAUUUAACAUAGAUAAAUUUGGGGGGAAAGCCAGUCUUAAUGGACUAUGUUUAUAUAAUACAAAAUAUCUAGAAUAGACAAAUUUGAGACCAAUAAUAGAUUUAUACUGCUUAUAACUCAGUAUAGUGGGGAGACUGGAGGAAUAGCUUAGGGGUGCUGAGUUUGAAGGGGGUUUUAGUCAUGAAAACGUUUGAUAAUUGUAUUGAUGAAUGGUUGCAUGGUCCUAUGAAUAUUCCAAGAGUCGCUGGAUUGUACACUUAAAUGAAUUAAUUGAAUGGUAUGGAAAGUGUAUCUCACUAAAGCACUUAGAGAUGCUAUUCAGUUUUUUUUUCUUGGCCCUGAAGAUACAUGUCCUCCUCAGAACCCAGGACGUGCAUCUGUUGGGGUGAUUCAGAUACUCGGGGUGCUCAGCCCUCCGCAUCCAGCUCUAGCCGGUUUCCCUGCUAUACACCCACCUCCAGCUGUGGACAGCUCCAGCUGUCCUUCCUACGAGACUUCACUUCUAACAGCCUCCCAGAAGUGAAGAUGCAGCGACGCUGAUGUCACACAAGAGGCAGGAGCCCAUCAGAGCCCCGGGGGGACGGUUUCUGCACAGGCACCAGGCAGCCGUCCAGGCAGAGAACACGCAGCAGCUCACUCGGACAUCAGCAGAGGUGACAUCUCUCCAUCCAAGGCAGCUGCCUGCAGGAAUCCCCAUAAGACCAGAGAAAGAAUUGGGUGCCCCCCAAAGCACCACAUCAAACGACUUCCCACUUCUGCCUCUUCCUGGCAGCAGAGAUCCCCCUGGAGAGACCCCGAGCCGAGCAGCACCUCAACUGGGCCUCGGCGGCUGCAGCAGCUGCUCUGUCAGUGCCUGGCCACCACAGCGUGUCCUUCGCGCGUCCCACAGCCCAGUCAGGGAGAGCCAUUCUCAAAGGCCGACGCACAGGGAGGCUGCUUAGAGCUGCCCGCGCAGGGGUCACCAGCAGAAAGGAGCUUUGCCCCCAGGGAAAGGAGCCAUGGCCCAGCACUCACUUCCCUGGCUCCUUCCAUUGUCAUCAGAAAUCAAAGUUGACUUGGUUUCCAUUUCUGAGCUGUCCUAUUGCCCAGAAUGUGACUGAGCACCACGUUUUCCUGGACUCUGACAAAAUCCCACAGACUGGGUGGUUUAAGCAACAAACCCACUUUCCCACAGAACUGGAAGGUUCAGGAUAAAAGUGGUAGCGGGCUGGUUCUAGGGUGCCACUCCCCUGGCCUGCAGAAGGUUCCUCGCUUCUCACCAGGACACUGAGCAUCUCAGAACCAGCCCCCCACCCCCCACCAGGCCCUCACUUAACCGUCACUACCUCCUGAGAGCCCCAGGCUCACAUUGGGAAGUUGUAGUUUCAACACAACCGCAUGGUGACAUUUUAUGGGAACUUGAGGAAAAGACCUUUUCUGCUCUUGUGGGACCGUUUCGUGAAAGUCUCUUCAUUUCAGACUCUGGAUGAAACUGUCGAGUGACAGAAUUACUGACUUUCUGCCUCCUAAGUCUGGCCGUUGAUCCAGCCCUUUUCUUGUGAGAAUGGGAGCAACGACAUCCAAGCUCUUUCCGUGUUGGAGCAGAAGCAGGCGUGUCCCUGAGUCGCCUUCUCGAGCCAGCAGCUGACAGACACAGGGACAGGAAGCAGCCUGGAGUUCCUACAAAGUCUCUACAAAGAACAUUUACAGGGGCUGGAGCGAUAGCACAGCACGUAGGGCAUUUGCCUUGCACGCAGCCAACCCGGGUUCGAUUCUCUGGCAUCCCAUAUGGUCCCCUGAGCACCGCCAGGAGUAAUUCCUGAGUGCAGAGCCAGAAGUAACCCCUGUGCAUCACCAGGUGUGACCCAAAAAGCAAAAAAAAAAAAAACAAAAAACAACAUUUACAAACUCAGGGAGGCCCGGUGCAGCAUUCUUCGAUUCUUGCAGACUGCUGUGGGCCCACAGACAAGCCAGGAAGGCUGGAAGCCACUGGUUGGCUCUGAGUGCUGAGCCUGGGCCCGUGUGCAGGGGGCAGGGCACAGGGUGUUGCAGGUGUGAAAAGCUGAGGAGCACUGGCCCAGAGUGAAGGGGCCCUGGGAGCCUUAUUUUCAGGGUGCAGGUUGGAGGUCAAGCAGGGUGUUUAUAGGAUUAUACGGAAUGUGUGCUGUGAACCUCGGACUGAGAUUGUACAAAUCCCUACCAGGCGCUCUGCUGGGUGCUUCGCAAACACCAUCCCUAAAGACUAAACACUGUAAAGGCACGUAAUAUCCCCGUGCCUUGGAAGAUGGGAAAACUAAGGCCCAGAGGAAAGUGGCUCCCCCCUGCCCCCAGGACAGCUGACGCCUCCUCAGGAGAGGCUGGGCAUCGCUUUACGGGGAGCGGCAAAGGCCCCCGGGUAGAGAGCGGCACACAGGGACUCACUGCCGCUUGUGUCAGGCAACCCUGCCCUGCUCGCCCAAGCCAGACCAGGGGUGAGACUCGGCAGAGGCUUGGCCCUUGGUAUCCGUGAGGCCCACGGAGAGAUGGCAAACUAGGUGCCCGCAAAGCGGGUUGUUCAGCCACAGGCCUGGCUCGUGCAGCCUGGAGGGAAAGCGGCCCCUCCCCCUACCGAAGACGCCCCCUGAGCAGCCAAGGGGAUCUUAGCCCCCGGCUGGCGCUUGCUGGCUGUCAAACCAUAGAGACAGUACAGGGUGAAGGGACAGCAGUCAACCCAGGUUCUAUUCCUGGCACUGCCAGGAAUGACCUUGGGCACAGAAGGCCUGAGCACAGCCCGGUGUGAGCAUUGGAGAACCAAAUGCAGUGUUGCAUAACCAUAGCUAUAAUCUAGCGAGUUUGCUCCUGGGGCUUUAUUUACUAUGACAAGACUCUCACCAGGCCCAAGGGGUGUGGUGGUCUCCUUGUCACAGCAUGCUGGGCAGCGAUGUGGGAGGACAUCCGAGGCUGGGCCUGGGUACCAUGUGGUCCCUGCAGCCCUCUGAGCAUGGCGCAGCAGUGAGCAAGGACAGGCCUGGCGCUGGUGGCACAGGAUGGGUCUGUCUGUCUUCAAAACCAAGAAUAAGCUUGAAAGCAAAGAGGAGAAAGAGCUCUGUGUCUGCCUGUGCCCCGUCUACAGCAUGGAGACCACCGCAACAGUGCCAGCAGAGGGAUUUCCUGCGAGUGUUAGCAGAAGGGGCUGGACUUCCUGCUGGAAGGAAAUAGGAAGUUUUUCCAGCUUGUAAAACAGAAACGUGCACUCGCGGCCAGCCCACCUACCUCAUCUGGGGCUGCGGAACAGAAGCCAGUGCCUGGAAAAAGCAGGAGCAGCCAGCGAGGCCCAGUCUGGCCAGCAGAGGGCGAUAGCGUGCCACGCAGACUGCCGGCCUCUGCCAGGAGCCGCCUGGGCUGAUACUGAGGAACACCACAGCGGCUCUGUCACCUUCCUGCCUCCCCGGAGAACCUCAGGCCUCCAGGUAGAGCCUCGGCCGUGGCAAGGCUCCAGGUGCUUCAGCGGUGUCCGCCACUCUGUGACAUGCUGGGGGAGGGACUCUCCGAGCCUCUGUCCCUCCAGGUCAUCAUCUUGAGAGCAUCCCGGAGCCCGCCUGGAGUGAUCCCUGAGCGCAGAGGGCGGAAGUAACCCUGAGCACUGUCCAGGGUGCCCCCGCCCUCCAGAAGAAAGGGGUGACUUUGGUGUUCAAUAUAAAAACCCUUUGGACUACAUGACUCCUAACCCAUAUUUUUUUUCUGUGCCUAAAGGGACUCCUGACUGUCUUAUUUGGAGACGGGAGAUGGCAGAGGCAGUGAGGGAGCAAGCCUGGCAUGCUGGGUUUAGUGCUCAGCACACGUGGUCCCCGAGCAUGGUGGGGUGCAGCCCUGGAGGCCCCCAGCACCGUCUGGGUGGGCCGGGUACCCCAGCACUGCAGGACCCGCGUAGCUGGGCACCCUCGGGCCCUUGCACUGAAAUGAUGGUCCGGUUGGACAGGAAUUGCCAGCGGGGCUCCACUUGGGAGCCCUCCUGAGAUCUUAUUUGGGGGACUGGAUAGCCAAAGGGUUGGGGCACACGCUUCUCGUGUACGAGGCCUCAGCCUCGGUCCCUGCAACCUCACGGUCCCUUGAGCCCACUAGGAGCAAUCCCCAGUACUGAGCUGAGAGCAGUCCCUGAGCACCACUGAGUGUGACCCCCAAUUUAUUUUUUUUGGGUGGGGGGAGCCCGGGGAUAGCUUAGUGGCAGACUGCCUGCCUUGCAGUCAUAAGGUCUUGAA